UUAAUUGAAGAGUUUGAUCAUGGCUCAGAUUGAACGCUGGCGGCAGGCCUAACACAUGCAAGUCGAGCGAGGUUUUCGGACCUAGCGGCGGACGGGUGAGUAAUGCGUAGGAAGCUGCCCGAUAGAGGGGGAUACCAGUUGGAAACGACUGUUAAUACCGCAUAAUGUCUACGGACCAAAGUGUGGGACCUUCGGGCCACAUGCUAUCGGAUGCGCCUACGUGGGAUUAGCUAGUUGGUGGGGUAAUGGCUCACCAAGGCGACGAUCCCUAGCUGGUUUGAGAGGAUGAUCAGCCACACUGGGACUGAGACACGGCCCAGACUCCUACGGGAGGCAGCAGUGGGGAAUAUUGGACAAUGGGCGCAAGCCUGAUCCAGCCAUGCCGCGUGUGUGAAGAAGGCCUUCGGGUUGUAAAGCACUUUCAGUGGGGAGGAAGGG
rnacentral:rRNA from 1 species